rnacentral:rRNA from 1 species
UGGGCAACCUGCCCUCAGCUCUGGGAUAAACCCCGGGGAAACCGGGGCUAAUACCGGAUACGACCUCCGCGGGCAUCUGCGGAGGUGGAAAGGUCUUCCGGCUGAGGAUGGGCCCACGGCCUAUCAGCUUGUUGGUGGGGUGACGGCCCACCAAGGCGACGACGGGUAGCCGGCCUGAGAGGGUGACCGGCCACACUGGGACUGAGACACGGCCCAGACUCCGUACGGGAGCA